rnacentral:rRNA from 1 species
GACGAACGCUGGCGGCGUGCUUAACACAUGCAAGUCGAGCGGAGCGGCGAACGGGUGAGUAACGCGUGAGUAACUGCCCCCCUCUCUGGGAUAACAGUUGGAAACGGCUGCUAAUACCGGAUAGUGGGGGAUGACUCGCGUCCUAUCGGCUUGUUGGUGGGGUAGUGGCCUACCAAGGCGACGGCGGGUAGCCGGCCUGAGAGGGCGCCCGGCCACAUUGGGCUGAGGUACGGCCCAAACUCCUACGGGAGGCAGGGGUGGGGAAGAGUGCGCAAUGGGGGAAACCCGGAUGCAGAAGCGCCGGGUGCGGAAUGACGGCCUACGGGUUGUAAACCGCUUGCAGCCAUGACGCGGUAGUGGCAGAAGAAGCACCGGCUAACUACGUGCCAGCCGCCGCGGUAAUUC